rnacentral:rRNA from 1 species
CGAGCGCAACCCUCGCUGUGUGUUACAAGUGUCACACGGAACUGCCGGUCGAUAAACCGGAGGAAGGUGGGGAUGACGUCAAGUCAGCAUGGCCUUUAUAUCCUGGGCUACACACACGCUACAAUGGGAAGGGACAAUAGGUUGCGAAGCCGCGAGGCGGAGCCAAUCCAGCAAAACUUCCCUCAGUUCAGAUUGCAGGCUGCAACCCGCCUGCAUGAAGUUGGAGUUGCUAGUAAACGCAGGUCAGCCAUACUGCGUUGAAUACGUUCCCGGGGCUU